rnacentral:lncRNA from 1 species
ACAGAAACUUAAGUGAUUUAGAGUGUGACUUUCAUGAACAGAAAUAGUCUCCAUAAUCUAAUCUCCAGAAUGCACUAAACCAGGAGAAGAUCCACCUGGAUAAUUUCGUUGUCAAAGGAAUGGAAGAAUAUUAAGGAGAACAAGUCCUCAUCUCUCCAAAGACCCUUCAUCCUUCAUUUCACAAUAGUCUUUAUUGGUCUGCUGGAGUUUGCUGGAGGUCCACUCCAGACCCUGUUUGCCUGGGUAUCACCGGCAGAGGCUGCAGAGCAGCAAAGAUUGCUGCCUGCUCCUUCCUCUGGAAGCUUCAUCCCAAAGGGGCACCCGCCUGAUGCCAGCCAGAGCUCUCCUGUACGAGAGAUGCCCUGCCCAGUGAGGAGGAAUCUAGAGAAGCAGUCUGGCCAUAGCUUUGCUGCACUGCGCACUUCUCCUUGCUGCCGCCAUGUGAAGAAGAAUGUGUUUGCUUCCCCUUCCGCCAUGAUUGUCAUGACAUUUUGAGCACAAUUGUGUGUGGGAUGCAUUCAUCAAUAGAGCUGGAAGCACCAACCACCAUAGGAGUAGAGACAGGGUUUCACCACAUUGGCUAGGCUGGUCUUGAACUCCUGACCUCAAGUGAUCCACCCCCAUCAGCAUCCCAAAGUGCUGGGAUUACAGAGGAAACUUUUAGUUACAAGCACAUGAAUAAAUAAAAUCAAACUCAACUGGAAUGACGUUCCUGAGGAUGGAGAUACAUUUUUUUGUUGACCCAUCUAAACUUGAACAGCAAGUGAUAAUCAGUCUCCAAUCAGAAAGUCCCAGGACUUAUAGGAGCAGAAAUCAGAAGACUUUACUCCACACACUUCAGGUGGACAUGUGGACAAAGCCAUCGGAGAACAUGACAAAAAUACAGCAAGAGCAGAGACAAGAUCAGAUCAUCCUGGGGGCAGAUGCUGGGCUCUGACCAAUUUGAGAGAGAAAAGGAAAAAGAACCCAGCUACAAGAUGCACAAGUAGCAGGCCACAGCCACCAACAUCAGCAGAGCAAUUGGAGGCCAGGAAGACAAGGACACUUCUGAAGAGACUGAAAAAAGCAGAAGACAGUCCAAGUCACUGCAAGGUUCCAAGGUCUCUUUUUUCAUUACUGUUACAAGUACCAAGUAAGCCAAAAUCCACCCUACUCUUCAAAACCAUCUUGAAGAGUUGCAGGUCAGGGUUGCUGCAUCUGAGCAUGUUUACUCACAAAAGGUGACAGAUGCUCCUCAACUUACAAUGAGAUUACAUCCUGAUAAAUGUGUCAUAAGUUGAAAGUAUCUUAUAAGUCGAAAAUGCAUUUACUACAGCCUAACCCACUGAACAUUGUAGCUUAGGCUAGCCUACCUUAAAACGUGAUCAGGACACUUCCCUCAGCCUACAUUUGGGCAAAAUCACCUAACACGAAGCCUAUUUUAUAAUAGAGCAUUGAAUAGCUCAAAUAAUUUAUUGAAUACUGUACAUUACAUAGAAUUUGUGACAGUUUUACACCAUCAUUAUGUCAAAAAAUCAUUAAGUUGAGCCACCAUAACUCAGGGACUGUCUGUAUUUAUAUUUUUACUUCACACUAAGCUUUGAAACUGAAAUUUUUGCUCCUCAGCAGAUGGGGUUUCUGAGAAAGACCAAAUUAGUUAUAGAGCACUAGCUCCCAAAAAAAAAA